GUUACCGUCCUGGAGGUACGUCGUUGCUCGUCGUUCGCGGCAGGACGGGUUAUCCGUCAACGUAAACCUGACACGUACGAUCCACGAAGAUACUUCAAGUCGCGCGAUCGUUCUCGUUCGCGGCGCGAACCUGCGAAUAUCACGUCGGCACCUCCCAGCACAUCGCGCCGAACACGUCGCCAGUGUCACUGGAUGCUCCAAUCUUGCGGCGAGGAUCGAGGCUGCGGGAGCGAGCAACGAUGCCCAACGGAGCGAAUUUGGGGUAUAUCUGCGUAAAUGAUCUCGUGAAGCAUGCGAGAGUCAAUUGUGCGGGGAAGAAGCCACGCAGCGUGUACUAGAGGCUUCCCACACUGCGCCAGAAGUCCGAGAUGGCGAAGAAGAACAGUAACGACAAGCCUUCCUUCCGCGGGGCUCUCGGACCCGCGGGCCUCCUACCCUUCCUCCCGCGGGGCUCUCGGACCCGCGGGCCUCCUUCCCUUCCUCCCGCCGGGGCUCUCGGACCCGCGGGCCUCCUUCCCUUCCUCCCGCGGGGCUCUCGGACCCGCGGGCCCCUUCCCUUCCUCCCGCCGGGGCUCUCGGACCCGCGGGCCUCCUACCCUUCCCUUCUUCCGCGGGGCUCUCGGACCCGCGGGCCUCCUACCCUUCCCUUCCCUUCUCCCGCCGGGGCUCUUGGACUUGCGGGCCUCCUUCCCUUCCUCCCGCGGGGCUCUCGGACCCGCGGGCCCCUUCCCUUCCUCCCGCCGGGGCUCUCGGACCCGCGGGCCUCCUACCCUUCCCUUCCCUUCUCCCGCCGGGGCUCUCGGACUUGCGGGCCUCCUUCCCUUCCUCCCGCGGGGCUCUCGGACCCGCGCGGGCCUCCUUCCCUUCCUCCCGCCGGGGCUCUCGGACCCGCGGGUCUCCUACCCUUCCAUCCUCGGGCGCGGUUUUAGUGUCACCGACUCGGCAGCAUGACCCACCCGUGGGGCAUUCUGCCGGGUCUCGACAGGGAUGCACGGCAUUUUGGACGAGCGCAGUCCGGGUGGGCGGGGGUGGCCUGCCACCAGGCUGAACCUCCUGGGGGCAGGGGACGUAGGUCGUACAAAAUCACCCUUUUUAGCCGGGAGCGUAGAACCGGCGGAGAGUCCUGACGUAAUGCGCCUUUAGUUCCAGGACUCUUUGUGAGCGGUUUGGUUGGUGGGAUAAAUAAAAAACACUUACUUUUAAAACUAAUUUUUCGUACUAAUGAAAAAUUUGUUUCAUUUAUUGAACAUUUUAAUCACUUUUAUAUUUCAUAAGCUUUCUAAUAUUGUUAUAAUAUUUAUAAUUAUAUAUUAUAUAAUAAGCUUUCUCGAGUCGCUGUUGAGUUGUAUUCGAAAGUCCAUCUCGUCGUUGAACAAUACUAUUUAUUGAAAAU